rnacentral:rRNA from 1 species
NNNNNNNNNNNNNCCCUCAGGAUAGCUGGAACUUACGGCAGUUUUAUCAGGUAAAGCGAAUGAUUAGAGGUCUUAGGGUUAAAACAACCUUAACCUAUUCUCAAACUUUAAAUUGGUAAGAAGUCCGACUUGCUUAAUUGAAGCCGGACAGUGAAUGCGAGUUCCUAGUGGGCCAUUUUUGGUAAGCAGAACUGGCGAUGCGGGAUGAACCGAACGCGCGGUUAAGGUGCCAAAGUCGACGCUCAUCAGACCCCACAAAAGGUGUUGGUUGCUCUAGACAGCAGGACGGUGGCCAUGGAAGUUGGAAUCCGCUAAGGAGUGUGUAACAACUCACCUGCCGAAGCAACUAGCCCUGAAAAUGGAUGGCGCUCAAGCGUCGCACCUAUACCGUGCCGUCGGAGCAGAUGCGAAGCUCCGACGAGUAGGAGGGCGUGGGGGUCGUGACGCAGCCUCUGGCGCGAGCCUGGGUGAAACGGCCUCCAGUG